rnacentral:misc_RNA from 1 species
AAGUCGUAACAAGGUUUCCGUAGGUGAACCUGCGGAAGGAUCAUUAAUAAAAAAUUCAUCCGUGAUUGCUUGUCAAUCUGGAGAAUUCAAAUCCAUAUACACCUUUUGUGCACUGUAGAGUAGGAUUGAAGCUUAAAACCCUUCUAACCUAUUUGUAAAAUCAAUUUACGCUUAUAAUAUUUUUGACUGAAUCUGAAUAAAAUUUAAAACAAAAAACAACUUUCAACAACGGAUCUCUUGGCUCUC